rnacentral:lncRNA from 1 species
GGGAGCUCUGCCCACGGAGAUCUCAGCUGGAGCUGAGCUUUCCAGCUGCUGCCACUUGUAAACAUGGCCCACUUGCCAAAGAUGCUGGGACAUGCUGAGAUGGACCAGAUCAAAAUGUGAAGCUGAUGAUCAGAGUCUUCACAGGGAUUUAUUUUUUGCUCUGUUAUUGCUGAAUUCUAUUUACUUUUGCAGUGCCCUUCUAUUACUUGUCUUCUCUAUUUUCCAGUUGGUUUCUUAUAUGAGGUUCAAAAUAAAUUUCUUGGAAUGUUAAGGAGAUUGCACCCUUGCAGAGGGUGUAAUUUCACCCAUCUCUGCAGUGACAUUUCCCAUCCUUCAGGACAGCAGAGGUGAAACUCCUCUUUCAGCAGCACAAUUUCAGGAAUAACUAUCCUGAAUUACAAGGAUAGUGAAUUGGAACACAUCCUUUAGAAAGAUGCCUAAUCCCAUUUUUAAAGCUCUGAGUGAUGGCUGAUAUCAUCGUGCUGGAACCAGGCUUUGUGGCGACAUGCCUCUCCCUCCCUCCAGCAUCCAGCUCACCCUGGCCACAUGUGCAGCCCAGGCCACGACCUCGGCCUUGGCUGGGCUCUGACGCCCAUUUAACAGUCAGAGGCUGGAAAGGGAGUUGCUGCUGUGCUAUUUUUAACCAGCUGGACAGUUAAAUAAUUCAGAGGCAGACACACACAGAGUGGUCUGGGCUGUGUGUGGAUCUGAGAGGGAACAAGAGCAUUGUAUCAACCCUGCUGGGCUUGCUUAACCUCAUCAAGCAUGGGUUCUCAGGCUCUUUAAUACAAACAUGAAACAAAAACUAAACUUUCAGAAGUAAAAUCCCUGCCUUACUGGCGUCAAUGGGACUCCUGGCUCUGAGUGCAAUGGAGCCUGGAUCACACUUAGCUGCAAGGCAAGAGCUGUUCAGUAUUUCCUUGCUUUCUAAUGCUGCAUAAUUUUUUUUCCAUGACAAUAAAACCCACUUAUGGUGUGUAGAGUCCA